AUACCUGAGGCGAUCUUGCAAGAAGUCCUCUAAUCUGGAAUGUGGUAUUCAUUUGGAAGCAGAAACGGUGGUCUGUCUCUUGUUAUACAAGGAUGAUGGAGCUCUGCAUCAAGGUGGCUGAAGAGGCUCUGGAUGGCCAGGGAUGGAAGGUGGCCCCAUGGCACUCAGCCACAGUCUCCAAACCCAACAGGCAAUGCAUUUCCCAGCUACAGCUACAGUCAGCAACCCUGAGUCAAC
rnacentral:lncRNA from 1 species